AAAUUCGGCUUUCACGAGCUCUCACCACGAUUAUAACUUCUCACCCACGAAUUUCUCUUUCCUACAUUCUCUGUAACAUGAUUUCACAGUUUUCUCAAUUAAGUUUUCUAUUUUUACAAUAUAUACUUCUAUUCUUUCUCCCUCUUCUGUAUAUCGAACAUCAAUUGUCGGGUGCAAGAGGUGAUCGGUAUGCUUUGUAUUUCAUAAACAAUCUUUAUUAUAGUUGAGAUUGUAUUUCUUGAUAGAUUUUUCUGUGAAGUUUGCUGACGGCGUAACUCCUAUGGCUACUGUUGUUUACCAAUCUUAGAAUUAUACCACACUUUCUUGCUUAUGAUUUUUUGGAGAACCGUCAGCAAAAAGUCUAUUAUUUCACAUGAUCUGUUGCUUCAUAUGUGUUUCAAUAAGUAUUUUGUUGCAGUUUGUACUAAUAUUUAUGAAUACCUCUGUCUAUUUUCAGAACUUACAGUUUCUUUCAAAAAAAGGCAUACGAAUGCAACUUCACUGAUCCUUCUUCAUGGAAAAACAAAAAACACCCCUUUCCGGACCAAGUAGAAACAAUAUACAAAAUCAGAAACGGUGCAAAAG
rnacentral:lncRNA from 1 species